AUAGCUUCUUGGCUUUUGGCGAAGAUCAAAUGUAGUAUCUGUUCUUAUCAGUUUAAUAUCUGAUAUGUCCUCUAACUGAGGACAAUAUAUUCAAUGGAUUUUUGGAGCUGGAGUCAGAAGAGCUUGCUCCAUCUGCUCCAUGCAUCAACCUGGUAUUGAAGUACCCCUGGGAACUGUGCACCCCCU